rnacentral:rRNA from 1 species
UACAGAGGUCCCAAGCGUUGUUCGGAUUCACUGGGCGUAAAGGGUGCGCAGGCGGCGCGGUAAGUCGGGUGUGAAAUCUCGGAGCUUAACUCCGAAACUGCAUUCGAUACUGCCGUGCUUGAGGACUGGAGAGGAGACUGGAAUUUACGGUGUAGCGGUGAAAUGCGUAGAUAUCGUAAGGAAGACCAGUGGCGAAGGCGGGGUCUCUGGACAGUUCCUGACGCUGAGGCACGAAGGUCAGGGGAGCAAACGGG